GACGUAGGUGGCGAACGUUAUCCGGAAUUAUUGGGCGUAAAGGGCUCGUAGGCGGUUUGUCGCGUCGGGAGUGAAAUCCACUGGCUUAACUGGUGGCUUGCUUUCGAUACGGGCAGACUGGAGGUAUGCAGGGGAGAACGGAAUUCCUGGUGUAGCGGUGAAAUGCGCAGAUAUCAGGAGGAACACCGGUGGCGAAGGCGCCUUGCUGGCCGAUUUCUGACGCUGAGGCGCGAAAGCGUGGGGAGCAAACAGG
rnacentral:rRNA from 1 species